rnacentral:rRNA from 1 species
GUGAGGAAUAUUGGUCAAUGGGCGGAAGCCUGAACCAGCCAUCCCGCGUGGAGGAAGACGGCCCUAUGGGUUGUAAACUUCUUUUCAAGGGGAAGAAAGUUCGCGACGUGUCGCGAUUUGCCGGUACCUUUGGAAUAAGCAUCGGCUAACUCCGUGCCAGCAGCCGCGGUAAUACGGAGGAUGCGAGCGUUAUCCGGAUUUAUUGGGUUUAAAGGGUGCGUAGGCCGGCCGAUAAGUCAGCGGUGAAAUACCGUGGCCCAACCAUGGAACUGCCGUUGAUACUGUCGGUCUUGAAUAUGGUCAAGGUAGGCGGAAUGUGUAAUGUAGCGGUGAAAUGCUUAGAUAUUACACAGAACACCGAUUGCGAAGGCAGCUUACUGGUCCAUUAUUGACGCUGAGGCACGAAAGCGUGGGGAUCGAACAGGAUUAGAAACCCCAGUAGUCC